rnacentral:sRNA from 1 species
GUCAGUCCCCCCUCUCAAAAAUGUACGUCUCUACGCCUCCCCAGCUUCUCCAAGAAGUCCCAUCCACCUCAUCAUUUUUGGACUGGAUUUGUAAGUUGGCACAUUUUUCAGCUUUUCAGGCCCCAGCCUUGUUGUAAUUUCAGACGAAUAUUUCCUGGAAUCCAUAUUUUCAGUGUCGCCGGCGUACGAGAAUGAGACCGCCGACCACAAUUCGACAGACGUGCUCUGCGCAAAUUGCAUCGGGAAUCGCAAUUUGAUUGGUAGGGUUUUUACAGAUUUUUCCAGGAUUUUUGAAAAGGUAAACUGAUAAAUUUCAGCCUGUAUUCGGUCGAGCGUUAUCGCGGUUCUUGGGAUCUGUACGGCGGCAAUGUGUAUGGCACGGAUCGCCAAGCUUCACACCACUUCACAAUCUCAUCUGAUGCUUUUUCUCUAUUAUAUCCUAGCGGUUCACUGCUUUGCGGGGUAAGUCAAGCCCAGAAACAAGCCUAAGCCUGAGCCCAUACCUAAUCCCAGAACCUUGCAGAUCCUUCGAAUGGCUCAUCGGAUGGAACACCCAACUGGCGCUGUUCCUCUCCUACACCAAAGCCAUAUCACUUCUGAUCGUCUGUUACUUCUACCUCGACAUUGCCUCAUCCAUGAUGCACUGGAGCUCGACGGCUGGGAAGCGGCUCUGCUUUGUCGCCCUGUUUCUGCUCUUCUCGUAUUUUACGGCUUUCCUGGUGAUGGGAUAUGUUCUCGCGUCCAUUGAGCCCAGGCUGGAUUGUAGAG